GACGAACGCUGGCGGCGUGCUUAACACAUGCAAGUCGAACGGAAAGGCCCUGCUUUUGUGGGGUGCUCGAGUGGCGAACGGGUGAGUAACACGUGAGUAACCUGCCCUUGACUUUGGGAUAACUUCAGGAAACUGGGGCUAAUACCGGAUAGGAGCUACUGCUGCAUGGUGGGGGUUGGAAAGUUUCGGCGGUGGGGGAUGGACUCGCGGCUUAUCAGCUUGUUGGUGGGGUAGUGGCUUACCAAGGCUUUGACGGGUAGCCGGCCUGAGAGGGUGACCGGCCACAUUGGGACUGAGAUACGGCCCAGACUCCUACGGGAGGCAGCAGUGGGGAAUAUUGCACAAUGGGCGGAAGCCUGAUGCAGCAACGCCGCGUGCGGGAUGACGGCCUUCGGGUUGUAAACCGCUUUCGCCUGUGACGAAGCGUGAGUGACGGUAAUGGGUAAAGAAGCACCGGCUAACUACGUG
rnacentral:rRNA from 1 species